ensembl:lncRNA
UGCACAGACCCACCAGCCCAACAGCAUCUAACUCCACGGUGUGAGUGUUUUUGGUGGAGCUUUGAAGGGUGAGUGUUUCCCUCAGACCGACACCACUGUAGUUCGGAGAGAGAUGAGAGAGGUGGCUUAUGGAUGAAUGGCCAUUAACGGCUGUUUUAACCUGGCUGCAUUGGCCCCAGCUUUUAAUUUAUUUGUACAAAUGAUUUUGUAUAUAAAUGAUGAUUUAGGGGGGAAUAUAGCGAUUGGGUUAGGGAUCCUGUCUGUCGCUCUGAUUGGUUGAACACUGAAGCUGCUGUGGGUUAAAGGAAGAUAUCAGGAAUGUAAGCGGAAGUGACUCUUCUCGGUGCUGUGGGCUUAUUGUAAGAUUUGCCCAGAGAGAGACAAGCUUUUAAUUAAAAACAAUUAAAAACCUGUUAUUAAUCACUAAAAUCGAAAUGAUUCUACAUUCACAUGUUCUUUUAUAUUUUUUGUUCUAAUCCUACGUUUUGAUCACUCUUUGAUUUGUCUUUCUGGUGUCGGUACAAUACUUUUUCAUGUGUCUUGUUAGGGGGGGUUUCUUGCCGUCUCUGGCGCCCCCUACUGUUGACGGAGGCAGUAGCAAAACUGUGGACAUCCCUGUGAGGCGGUUGUCAACGAAUUGGCUUCUCUUCCCUUGUAAUUUAAACGGAUUCUGAACCCAGAAUCUACAGGAGACAGACUGUGGACUACUUUGAUUUCCCUGGGAUAAAAAAAAGACGUUGAAUAAUAAGUGAAAUUAAAAACUUGAAACUCAAACUUGGAAUAGAAUGUUAUAUAUAUAUAAAUAUAGAUUAUUUUAUUGAUCUUUUCUGAGAAUUUGUGGGGGGGGGGGUCAUAUGAAUCUGUGUAAAAACUUGUAUGUUUGAUUUUCUCAGGUUCCCCUGGAC